rnacentral:rRNA from 1 species
UCCUAAGGUAGCGAAAUUCCUUGUCGGGUAAGUUCCGACCCGCACGAAAGGCGCAACGAUCUGGGCACUGUCUCAACGAGAGACUCGGUGAAAUUAUAGUACCUGUGAAGAUGCAGGUUACCCGCGACAGGACGGAAAGACCCCGUGGAGCUUUACUGCAGCCUGAUAUUGAAUGUUGGUACAGCUUGUACAGGAUAGGUAGGAGCCUUGGAAACCGGAGCGCCAGCUUCGGUGGAGGCAUCGGUGGGAUACUACCCU